AGGAAUGCUGGCCACCUACUCAGCAUACUGAAUGGAUCCUAGUGUGAAUUUGCAUUCAUAGCAGAAUUUCAGAUGACACCUGGAAGAACUUUAAACUGGCUCUACAUCAUGGUUGAAAGAUCCUACCUGAAAAUUUCACUUGACAAUUACAGAAGAGAUGUUACUUCCCUUUCCUAUGUGAGACAGUCAACAGUUCCCAGUCAGAACACUCUUAAUAUUGGGGAAUGUUUCCAUGUUCCUGUAUGAACCAAAGCAGCAGCAGCAGCAGCAGCAGCAGCAGCAGCAGCAGCAGC